rnacentral:rRNA from 1 species
GACAGAGGAUGCAAGCGUUAUCCGGAAUGAUUGGGCGUAAAGCGUCUGUAGGUGGCUUUUUAAGUCUGCCGUCAAAUCCCAGGGCUUAACCCUGGACAGGCGGUGGAAACUACCAAGCUGGAGUACGGUAGGGGCAGGGGGAAUUUCCGGUGGAGCGGUGAAAUGCGCAGAUAUCAGGAGGAACACCGAUGGCGAAGGCAGGUCUCUGGGCCACUACUGACGCUGAGAAGCGAAAGCGUGGGGAGCGAACAGG